GUUGAUCUUGAAUUAAAUUCCUCCUCAGGAUGUAAUUGGAGAAUACUUAACAAAUUUUCGAUGUAUGAAUUUUGCGGUAAAGGAUUGUUAUAAUGGCCCUUCUAGCUUGUGCAUUCGCAGAGAAAGACUAUAUGAAGGCAACAGCGGCUGCAACUCAGGUUCUAUAGGCAUAUGUUGACAAAAGUCAGAAGGGCGGCUGGAUGAGGCAUGGGACUACAGUGCAUAUUUGCUUUUCUUUCCUGUGUCGUACAGCAAGCUUUCAUGACAUUUUCUUUCUCAUGUUUUUUAAUUGGUUAACAAGUUUAGUUAACCUCUCCACUCUCUAUGCUAGAUGUUUAGAACUUUCUGUUUGGAACUUUUUUGUUGGUCCUCUUCUAUAUUUCCAUUAAUCUUCCAGUGUAUAAUUAAUGGUUCUUAUGCUAAUUAGAAUUGAGUGUGCAAAUCUGACUUGUUCUUGUUACAGCACAACCUUAUCUUAUUGUUUUCUAAUACAAUUUUAUGUUGUACGG